AAUUUAAAAUCUGGCAGAUGUUUGUCUGUCCGAGNUGUAACCUAGAGAAGUGUAACCUGUGCUGGACCGUGUACAAGUCUCCUGGAAUGGAGCAUCAUAGAGGGUGAGAAUCCCGUCUUUGACAUGGACUACCAGUGCACUGUGGUUGCACACUCAACGAGUCGAGUUGUUUGGGAAUGCAGCUCUAAAUGGGUGGUAAAUUCCAUCUAAAGCUAAAUAUUGGCGAGAGACCGAUAGCGAACAAGUACCGUGAGGGAAAGAUGAAAAGAACUUUGGAAAGAGAGUUAAACAGUAUGUGAAAUUGUUGAAAGGGAAACGCUUGAAGUCAGCUGCAUUAGCUGGGGAUCAAGCCAGCUUUUUUGCUGGGUGUACUUCCUGGUUGAUGGGCCAACAUCAGUUUUGACCAUCAGAGAAAGGCUAAGGGAAUGUGGCACCUUNAUAGGUGUGUUAUAGCCCUUGGUUGUAUGUGAUGGUUGGGACUGAGGACAGCAGCGUGCCGCAAGGCUGGGCUUUGA
rnacentral:rRNA from 1 species